AGCACAAGGUCGAGUGGAGACUGCUUCUACAGAAAACACUGGAUUAUUUGCGACAUAUUUUCAAAACUGUUUUUGAGAAAAAUGGAGACUCAGACAAAGGAAUUCUUCAAACAGGAGACUUGAUACCAGGAAGAUGGACAGAAGAACGAGCAAAAUCAAGAUGCCUGGAUUCAAGGCAAAGAUACCCAGAGCGGUCAUUCUUUUGAGGAUAAAAUUAACAGGCUAAAGACUCUUUUGGACACAGAACGAGCCAGAUUAAAUGAGGAACACCAAAGAGCAAAUGACUUGGAAGAAGAACUGCACGAUGUGAAACUCAAGCUAGAAAAGCGUGAAUUUAACGAAAACGACGUUGGCGUAUGCAGUGAGGCAAGAAAAGGAUUGAAUGCCAGUGAGGACAUCCUAUCCUCUCAGCUCCUCUUGGAAAAUAAAACCCUCCAAAAUCAGCUCAGAUCUUCUCAAAAAAAAAGAGGCACUUUUACAGAGAGAGAUCCAGAAAAGUACAACCUUAUAUCAAGAAGUUCUGGCUAAGCUUCAAAAUGAUAUUAUCAAUCUGUCAGAACAGGUGGCAACAUUACAGGAAGAGCUGGAAAUAGAAAGAUCAGCUAAUUCUCAAACAAAUACGAACAAGACGUUUUUUAAGAUCAUAAGAGGUGAAAACACAGGUCAGUGUACAGAGCUGAAGAAGGAAAUGGCAUUGAUGAGAAAGACAUCUGCAGAGAAGGAGAGGCAUCUACAGGAAGAGCUGAAGAAGAUGAAAGAGUCCUCCCAGGAACUUAACAGCAAUUAUCAAACUUCUGUCAAGUUCCUGGUACAACAAGCAGAGUCGUUAAAGAAGAAGCUAAGAGAUGACGAAGAAGCUCAUACAGAAGUGUUGAAGAUGAACCAGACACUUUAUGCUGCUCUAGAAGCUGAGAAUGAGGCUCUUCGUCAAAAACUGUCAUCCCUGCAAAACGCCAGAGAGACGGAGACAUGUCUUCAGAGUGAGCUGGACCAAGUCAAAGAGGCAAACCUGGAAAUGACCAAGAAGUUUGAAACGGAUGUUUUAACCCUUAAGAAAUGGGUGAAUAUACUGGAGCGGGAGCUGAAAGACGACAGAGUCUCAUGCUGAGUUGGUGAAAAUCAACACAAUGCUUUAUGCAGAGCUUCAGGCUGAGAAUGAAACUCGGUCAAAAAAUGGCUUCAAUGCAAGACGCUUCCAUAGAGGCAGAGAGAUGCAUCCAGAAAGGGCUUGAGCAAGUCAAAGAGGCGAGUCUGGAAAUAGUCCAGAAGUAUGAAGUCGAUAUUUUAGCCCUUAGAGAAGAAAUACAAACAAUGGAGCAGGAGCACCUAGGAUGAGAGGUAUCGUCAUGCGGAAGUUGAAAUACGUAAUGGUAAGAGAUCCAAAUUCCUCCACGCUGAGAAGAACAUGCUACAGAAGGAACCACUUGACCUCUGGGUUUGAGGAAACCGGAAAGAUGGAAUAAAAAGGAGGCUGAAGAAGAAAA